UACGACGAGACUACCGAUUUGUUGUCCGAUAUUCAUGUUGCAUUCCUCAUUCUUUGGGUAAAAAGCUUUUGUUUAGCAAUUCUCAUUGGUGGUCGUCUUAUGAUUGCAGCUUCUACACUGCCAUCGCAACUUCUAUCUCUUUGACGCCCCUUCAUAGCUGUUUUAGCGUGCAUUGGUGACAAAUCUCCUUUUCUUGCAGCGUCUUUACGGCACUGCGAUAGUAUCUCCUCUUCCUCCCCUUCUUCUAAUGUUUCUUCCAUAUCUUUCUGACGAUGUCGCUGUCCAGUGUGUGUAUUUAUAAGCAGAUUUUGUUCGCUAUCCGAUAAUGCUUCUU
rnacentral:lncRNA from 1 species